rnacentral:rRNA from 1 species
UAGAGUUUGAUCCUGGCUCAGAAUGAACGCUGGCGGCGUGCUUAACACAUGCAAGUCGCACGAGAACUCUUUAGCUUGCUAAAGAUAGUAAAGUGGCGCACGGGUGAGUAACGCGUGGGUAAUCUACCUCUGAAUCGGGGAUAACACCGCGAAAGCGAUGCUAAUACCGGAUAAUAUCUUUUAAGCUUCGGCUUACCAGAUCAAAGGUGGCCUCUACAUGAAAGCUACUGUUUGGAGAUGGGCCCGCGUACCAUUAGCUUGUUGGUGGGGUAAUGGCCCACCAAGGCAUCGAUGGUUAGCUGGUCUGAGAGGAUGAUCAGCCACACUGGAACUGACACACGGUCCAGACUCCUACGGGAGGCAGCAGUGAGGAAUUUUGCGCAAUGGGGGAAACCCUGACGCAGCAACGCCGCGUGAGUGAUGAAGGCCCUCGGGUCGUAAAACUCUGUCAAGUGGGAAGAACCUGCUUUAUGUUAAUACCAUAUUGCACUGACGGUACCACUGAAGGAAGCACCGGCUAACUCCGUGCCAGCAGCCGCGGUAAUACGGAGGGUGCAAGCGUUAUUCGGAAUUAUUGGGCGUAAAGAGCGCGUAGGCGGUCUUUUAAGUCAGAUGUGAAAGCCCGAGGCUUAACCUCGGAAGUGCAUUUGAAACUAAGGGACUUGAGUAUGGGAGAGGGAAGUGGAAUUCCUGGUGUAGAGGUGAAAUUCGUAGAUAUCAGGAGGAACACCGGUGGCGAAGGCGACUUCCUGGACCAAUACUGACGCUGAGGCGCGAAGGCGUGGGGAGCAAACAGGAUUAGAUACCCUGGUAGUCCACGCAGUAGACGGUGAACACUAGGUAUAGCGGGUAUUGACCCCUGCUGUGCCGUAGUUAACGCAUUAAGUGUUCCGCCUGGGGAGUACGACCGCAAGGUUAAAACUC